GUUACCAAUUUACUACCACAC
rnacentral:miRNA from 1 species